rnacentral:rRNA from 1 species
GAUGAACGCUAGCUACAGGCUUAACACAUGCAAGUCGAGGGGAAACGACAUCGAAAGCUUGCUUUUGAUAGGCGUCGACCGGCGCACGGGUGAGUAACGCGUAUCCAACCUGCCCACCACUUGGGGAUAACCUUGCGAAAGUAAGACUAAUACCCGAUGAUAUCUCUAGAAGACAUCUGAAAGAGAUUAAAGAUUUAUCGGUGAUGGAUGGGGAUGCGUCUGAUUAGCUUGUUGGCGGGGUAAACGGCCCACCAAGGCGACGAUCAGUAGGGGUUCUGAGAGGAAGGUCCCCCACAUUGGAACUGAGACACGGUCCAAAACUCCUACGGGAGGCAGCAGUGAGGAAUAUUGGUCAAAUGGGCGAGAGCCUGAACCAGCCAAGUAGCGUGCAGGAUGACGGCCCUAUGGGUUGUAAACUGCUUUUAUAAGGGAAUAAAGUGAGCCUCGUGAGGCUUUUUGCAUGUACCUUAUGAAUAAGGACCGGCUAAUUCCGUG